GGGCCCGUAGCUCAGCCUGGAUAGAGCAUCUGCCUUCUAAGCAGGGGGUCGCGCGUUCGAAUCGCGUCGGGCCCG
rnacentral:tRNA from 1 species